GGAGAAACCAGCACGACGCUCACGAGUCUCACCUGCAGACAAAAGGAGCACAGAGGAGUCGGCGGCGCUGAGAUCGGACGGCUGCCAUUAGCCCAAAUUGGAAGAAGAAUAAAAAAGGCGUCGAAAUAUUCUCACAUCUCAGAACGAAGUCAUUAAUGCUUGGCAUUAUCGAAUGCAUUCAAGCCUAAUUCCAAGUGUCCAUUUGCCGCUCACUGUGUUGCAUAAUGGCAUUUUGAUGGCUGCAUUCAUUGUGCCAUGUUUGGUAUGCCGUUCUUGGGCGCCACCUAUUCAUCAAUAUGGAAAUCAUGCGCCAUAAAGAGCCCCUCAGUGAAGAUGCCAUUCAUGGCUGAGUAGGAAAUGAAACGCCACAGAGACCUCAGACCAUACGAGGAGCCGCGCGGCAGAACUUUAAAGGCUCCCCGAGAACAUUAGAGAACAGAGACAGUGCUCAAAGAGCCGCGUCCGGAUGUUUGCCUCUUUUUGCUUUUUAAAGAAGCUAUAAUCUGGAAAAAAAGAAGAAGCUAUAAUCUGGACCAGACUCUGUGGUGCAGAACAAUAACUGGGAGGCUCAUUACAGCUAAAAAGAAGAAUUUGUAACUUACAAUUUUAAGAAACUGACAAACAGUCCGGAUUUCCUGCACAACAGGCUUUCAAAUCUUUGUCAAGGAGCUGAGACGACUCAGAAUUAUAGCACUUCUGAAUGAGUCAACACUUCAUUUGACUAUGACAAAAAAUAAU